rnacentral:rRNA from 1 species
UACAGAGGUCUCAAGCGUUGUUCGGAUUCAUUGGGCGUAAAGGGUGCGUAGGUGGUUAGGUAAGUCGGAUGUGAAAUCCCGGGGCUCAACCUCGGAACUGCAUUCGAUACUGCUUGACUAAAGUACUGGAGAGGAGAUUGGAAUUUACGGUGUAGCAGUGAAAUGCGUAGAUAUCGUAAGGAAGACCAGCGGCGAAGGCGGAUCUCUGGACAGUUACUGACACUGAGGCACGAAGGCCAGGGGAGCAAACGGG